rnacentral:rRNA from 1 species
UACCAGCUCUCCGAGUGGUAGGGAUGAUUAUUGGGCUUAAAGCGUCCGUAGCCGGCUUAGCAAGUUUCCUGUUAAAUUCAGCGACCUAAUCGUUGAGCCGCGGGAAAUACUACUAGGCUAGGAGGCGGGAGAGGUCGACGGUACUUCUGGGGUAGGGGUGAAAUCCUAUAAUCCCGGGAGGACCACCAGUGGCGAAGGCUGUCGACUAGAACGCGCUCGACGGUGAGGGACGAAAGCUGGGGGAGCGAACCGGAUUAGAUACCCGGGUAGUCCCAGCUGUAAACGAUGCGGGCUAGGUGUUGGGGUGGCUACGUGCCACUUCAGUGCCGCAGGGAAGCCAUUAAGCCCGCCGCCUGGGGAGUACGGCCGCAAGGCUAGAAACUUAAAGGAAUUGGCGGGGGAGCACCACAAGGCGUGAAGCUUGCGGUUC